rnacentral:hammerhead_ribozyme from 1 species
CCACUGCUGAGGAGUCUCAUAAUAGGAUGAGACGGCCGUCCAGUGC